AGAUGAGAUGCAAAAUUGGGGGUUGAAGAUAGCAACAGACCUGGUUCAGGUCCAAGGACGAAUUCUUCCACCAGAAACCAUUUGUCAAGGAGAGAAAGUUAUCACAUUUGAUCAAAAGUCUUCAGAUUGGUCUCGGGAAACUAGGAGCUUGAAGUUACAUUCUGCCAUAACUUGAAAAAUUGGGCUAUGGUCUUCACAUCAAGAUCUAAUGAGGAUGCUAGAGAGCUAAGCACAACACUUCAGCGUGUUGGGCCACCUAUGGGCAUGUCAAUUGCGUCUCCAAGAAACAUUUGCCUUCGUGGUGAUAGCACUCCCAGAGUUUGUUGGAGUUUUGAAUGAUUUAUCAGGAUUCCAGCUAGUUCUCGUCAUUUUACCCAAUAAUAGGUUGGAUAGAUACAGUGCCAUCAAGAGGCAUUUGACUGUCAAGAUGGGUGUCCCAAGUCAAUGUGUUCUGAGUAGGACGCUCUUUAAAAAAGCAGCGAUUGAUGUCAGUGGCAACAAAAAUUGCCAUACAAAUGAACUGCAAACUAGGUGGUGAACCC